ACGGGUGAGUAAUGUCUGGGAAACUGCCUGAUGGAGGGGGAUAACUACUGGAAACGGUAGCUAAUACCGCAUAACGUCGCAAGACCAAAGAGGGGGACCUUCGGGCCUCUUGCCAUCAGAUGUGCCCAGAUGGGAUUAGCUAGUAGGUGGGGUAACGGCUCACCUAGGCGACGAUCCCUAGCUGGUCUGAGAGGAUGACCAGCCACACUGGAACUGAGACACGGUCCAGACUCCUACGGGAGGCAGCAGUGGGGAAUAUUGCACAAUGGGCGCAAGCCUGAUGCAGCCAUGCCGCGUGUAUGAAGAAGGCCUUCGGGUUGUAAAGUACUUUCAGCGGGGAGGAAGGUGCUGAGGUUAAUAACCUCAGCAAUUGACGUUACCCGCAGAAGAAGCACCGGCUAACUCCGUGCCAGCAGCCGCGGUAAUACGGAGGGUGCAAGCGUUAAUCGGAAUUACUGGGCGUAAAGCGCACGCAGGCGGUCUGUCAAGUCGGAUGUGAAAUCCCCGGGCUCAACCUGGGAACUGCAUUCGAAACUGGCAGGCUAGAGUCUUGUAGAGGGGGGUAGAAUUCCAGGUGU
rnacentral:rRNA from 1 species